GUGCUCGCUUCGGCAGCACAUACACUAAAAUUGGAACGAUACAGAGAAGAUUACCAUGGCCCCUGCACAAGGAUGACAUGCAAAUUCGUGAAGCGUUCCAUAUUUUU
rnacentral:snRNA from 1 species